rnacentral:lncRNA from 10 species
GGCACAGAGAGGUGAAAUAAGGAAUGAAAUAUUACUGGAUGAAAUAAUUAUACUGAUCCUAGCCUUAUUUUAAAAGGGCCCCCAGAAUGCUCUUCUCCAAGACUUAGAAAAAUCAAAUGCUAUCCAUCCCUCAAGAUACAUCCCUCCAGCCCCUCCUUGAAGUCUCCUGCAGCUAGAAGUAGAAGUAGCAUCUAUCCCCAUCUGGACUCCUUAGCACUUUGCUGUACCUGCCUUAGUCCCCAUCUCUUUACACACACACACACACACACACACACACACACAGAGUAUUAUAAUACUAUUACCUAUUAUAUUACAUUAUAUUAUUGUAGUUCUACAGGAACUACAAGGAAUUCUACUGUGAAUUCCUUAAGGGUGGGAUACAUUUUACAAUCAUCACUGUUUCUCUCAUUAGUUGUGGAAUCAAAAAAAUGAGUGCACGAUGAAAAAUUAUUCAAACACAUACAUGCUUUCAUUCCAAUUGAAAAUGUAAAAAUAUUACUGUUAAAACAAUAUUAAAGGACAUGUAAUACAAUUCAAAUAUUCCUACCAUGCACGAUUGUUUUCACUUCUUUGUGCCUCUUUCACCAUUUAUUUGUGUGCAUACUCAGCAUAUUUGUUUGUGUAACAGGAUGUUAAAAAUAGAAUUUGUUGCCUGUAGUUUUUGCUAAAGCUCUACUAGACUGGAACAGAACAAUAGGUGGUAAAUACUCCAUUCCUCAGUGAGAUGCUACCUACCUAUGCAGAGCUGGAAAAGAUUUUGCAACCUGAAAACCCAAUCCUUUCUGAGAUAUAAAAGAACAGAAGAGUCUGGAAGUGAUUUCUUCGGAGAAAUUCAUUUUCUGUGAGUCUCACUCCUAAUCCCCUAUGAGAUAUCUGGGGGUGAAGGGCAGGUGCUGUUCCACACAGAGAGCUUGAUCCGUGCAUCUUGGAAGAGGGAGGUAGGUAGGGAACAGGGUGGGCUGCUUUGGGACCCAUGCCUUAAAACUCAGGUACUGGGGCUGGCUGGUUCUAAUGGCCAAGAGGUGAGAGGUGCACCUGUGGGGAACAACCUUCACUCUCAGUUUGUCAGGAUAGAGGAUAUGAGUCUUGCCCUGAGGAUGGGAUGUAGACUACAAGGGCAAGAGAGUCAGCUUAAAGAAAUCUGUAGAACUAUCUGCCAGGACUGAGGUGACCAUAGCAGAGAGAUGUUGGAGGUAUUCUGUUGGGAACAAGAUGGUGUGAGGUAAAGAUUGUAUUUGAUACCUGCUGGAGAAGAGAUCUUGCAUUAAGGCCAGCAUUAAGAGAACUUCAGAUGAGAAAUCCCUGGUGAAGCAGAGUCUCCAAAGAAUGCAUAAGAGCUCUGCAGUGAGAAAGAGAUCACCUGAAUACCUUCCAAAAUCAAAGCGUGGCAGUGACCAGCUAAGCAGAUCUUUCCUGUCUUCUACCUGGAAGGGCCUGAAACUGCAAUUCAUGAGUUUGGGGAAGGCAGAGAGGCACAAAGUGGGGAAAUGGAAAAGUUGACUAUGUCCGCUUUCCUACUGCAGUAUUCCAGAGAAGAAACUUCAAGCUCAGAAUAUUGGCUACUACCUGUGAUAAACAUUUAAAUUAUUGGAACGAGAGAGUUUUUAUAACUAAAUUUGAAAGAAGCAAUUUUUUUUAUCAAAGACCAACCCGAAGAUUCAUGACCACUACCUGUGAUUUCAUCCAUGUUGCAAGGAAAAUCCUGCCCCACUUCCCCAAUAGGAAGAGUGGUGGGGGAAUAAUAAAGUUGUUUUAUGAUGCAUCCUGUGGACUUCUACUCGACAGAAUGGUAACAUUCAACUGUAAUCAGGAUGAGCAAGCCACUUUAUUAAACUAAAAUUUUAAACUUUAAUAAAUAUAAUACAAACUGAAAAAUAAAAAUAAUUUUUCAACUCUACACAAGUAUGUUAACUGCAUAAACAGUGAGAUGUUACACAGGGCUGAGGCCUAUACUUCUUCAGUUUGUACAUUAAACGUCUCCAUGGAGGGUCAAUUGCAUCCUACCUAUUCUGACAGUUAUCAGGUAGCGAGAGAUUUGAGGAAGAGGCGCUUUUCUAAUCUGGGGUAGGAAAAGGAAUGAUACCAUGUAUCAUGAGAAGUAUUUGCACAUAGUGUGUCAAUUAAGCAAGUGCUCAGACUAUUAACAACAUUACUAUGUGAUGAAUGUUUAUACAGUGGAUUCAAAAAUAAGCUUCUUUCCAGAAAGCAGCUUAGUUUUCAUUAAUUAUUACCAGCAUCUUGGUAAUUAUUUAUUUAAUGGUUUAAAAGUUAAAGUUUCAAUCUAUAUUUGUUUUUUUAACAUCAGCCAAGGAAAUACAUGUCUGUUAUACUGCAUCUUUGGAAGUAUGCAAUAAGUGUAACUAUUGAAUCUAUAUUGAAGAGCCACAAGACACUGAAUUUAAUUGGACGAGACUAUUUUAUUUAGGAAGACAAUCAUCUCCUGUGAUCAGCUUAAGGUUUUUGUUUUGUUUUAUCUGGAACAAGCUAAGUUCAUAUUUAGAAAAUAAAGUUAGUUUUUUGGGUGCAUGAGUUUUAGAGUAAAUUAGUAAUUUAGUAAACUUUGACAUUUCCACUUUGUCUCCAAACACAUUUAAAUUCUAUCUGUCUGACUGAAGUUCUAAGGCAUUCUGUGGUUACUUAGAAAUGAUUCCUUAUAUUAAUGUUUACAAAUGCUAAAUUGUAUUUGUUAAAUACAUGUCUUAUUGCCUAAGAGUUUUCCUUUCUUAUAAGUUUAAUAUAAAUGUCUAGGAAAUAAGACUCCCAUUUAAUAGCUUAUAAAGAAUGCUGAUGUAUCAGCAGUGGCCUUGACAUUAUUGGAUACAAGUAAGAUCUACACUGAUGAUUAAAUCAAAUUGGCUAAGAUUAUUCGUUCUAAUAAAAGCACUGACUCCAUGAAGUUUUCUUGUGGCUGAAAUUAACAUUCGUGUUCCUACAAGCUCUUUAAAAUCUUAGUUACUGAAAAUUAUUCCUUUUGACCUAAUUUUUUCUUUACUUUGGAUGUAUUUGACAAGGUAGAGGUUAGGGAUUGGAGAGUAUGUAAAGAAUGAAAUAAAAUGUAGUCACUUUUAACUAUAUCCACAUAUAUCCACAGGGAGAUGGGGGUUAACACUGAUAAUUAUUCUCAACAUUCUUCUGGGUUUGGAGUUAAUUGAGAAAUACACAUAGCGGUCAGAAACAUAG